rnacentral:rRNA from 1 species
CGGCGAGUGAAGCGACAAAAGCUCAAAUUUGAAAUCUGGCACCUUCGGUGUCCGAGUUGUAAUUUGAAGAAGGUAACUUUGGAGUUGGCUCUUGUCUAUGUUCCUUGGAACAGGACGUCACAGAGGGUGAGAAUCCCGUGCGAUGAGAUGUCCAACUCUAUGUAAAGUGCUUUCGAAGAGUCGAGUUGUUUGGGAAUGCAGCUCUAAGUGGGUGGUAAAUUCCAUCUAAAGCUAAAUAUUGGCGAGAGACCGAUAGCGAACAAGUACAGUGAUGGAAAGAUGAAAAGAACUUUGAAAAGAGAGUGAAAAAGUACGUGAAAUUGUUGAAAGGGAAGGGUUUGAGAUCAGACUUGGUAUUUUGUAUGUCUUGCUUUCGGGUGGGGCCUCUGCAGUUUACUGGGCCAGCAUCGGUUUGGACGGUAGGAUAAUGACAUUGGAAUGUGGCACUACUUCGGUGGUGUGUUAUAGACUUUGUUGAUACUGCCUGUCUAGACCGAGGACUGCGUCUUUGACUAGGAUGCUGGCAUAAUGAUCCUAAACCGCC